rnacentral:tRNA from 1 species
GCCUGACUGGCUCAGUCAGUGGAGCACACGACUCUUGAUCUUGGGUUAUGAGUCUGAGUCCCAUGUUGGGUG